rnacentral:rRNA from 1 species
CCAGCAGCCGCGGUAAUACGGGGGGGGCAAGCGUUGUUCGGAAUUACUGGGCGUAAAGGGCUCGUAGGCGGCCAACUAAGUCGGACGUGAAAUCCCUCGGCUCAACUGAGGAACUGCGUCCUAUACUGGAUGGCUUGAGAUCGGGAGAGGGAUGUGGAAUUCCAGGUGUAGCGGUGAAAUGCGUAGAUAUCAGGAGGAACACCUGCGGUGUAGACGGCUUACUGGACCACGACUGACACUGAAACUCGAAAGUGUGGGGAGCAAACAGGAUUAGAUACCCUGGUA